CGGCCUUAGUCCGGCGUCGGCCGGUCAUCGGAAAUCGCUCUGGCCACCAGCCAUCGGCGGCGACGCCGCCGUAUGCGGUGGUCAGAGAGCCAAAAAUUUCAGAUCUGAACCUUCUAAAGCCUUUAAACUCGAAUCUAAUCCUGAGAUUGCCAAAAUAUUUAUGGAGAGGGCCCAAAUCUCGAGAAAACCUUCCGAUUUUCGGCCGUCAAUCCUCGGUGACGGCUUCCUCGGCCAUCCACGGCGGUUCUGACUCAAACAAAGGUGAAGAUCGGGGCUGAUUUGGAGGCUUGCGGCGCUGUGGAAAUCCUAGGGUUUCUGUCUGUUUCGAGCCGUGUUUGGUUUGGGCCACUGAAUUUGGGCCACUGUUUUACAUUGGUUUUUGGGCUUUGUGGCCCGUUUGUAAUUUUGUUGCAAUUGGACUAGUAUUUAUUUGUGGCCCUUUUAUUAUUUUAUUAUUUUUUUAUA